rnacentral:rRNA from 1 species
UGAGAAGGUUAGGUCAGCCAACUGUUGGAAUAGUUGGUUUAAGCGUGUAGGCGUGCCCCUUAGGCAAAUCCGGGGGGCUUAGCUGAGGCGUGAUGACGAGGCACUACGGUGCUGAAGUGAUUGAUACCAAGCUUCCAGGAAAAGCCACUAAGCUUCAGUCUAGAAUUGACCGUACCGCAAACCGACACAGGUGGGCAGGAUGAAAAUUCUAAGGCGCUUGAGAGAACUCAGGAGAAGGAACUCGGCAAAUUAACACCGUAACUUCGGGAGAAGGUGUGCCCCGGUAGGUUGUAGAGCCUUGCGCUCGAAGGCCGAUGGGGUUGCAGUGAAAUGGUGGCUGCGACUGUUUAAUAAAAACACAGCACUCUGCAAACACGAAAGUGGACGUAUAGGGUGUGACGCCUGCCCGGUGCCGGAAGGUUAAUUGAUGGGGUGCAAGCUCUUGAUCGAAGCCCCGGUAAACGGCGGCCGUAACGAUAACGGUCCUAAGGUAGCGAAAUUCCUUGUCGGGUAAGUUCCGACCUGCACGAAUGGCGUAACGAUGGCCACACUGUCUCCUCCUGAGACUCAGCGAAGUUGAAAUGUUUGUGAAGAUGCAAUCUCCCCGCGGCAAGACGGAAAGACCCCAUGAACCUUUACUGUAGCUUUGCAUUGGACUUUGAAUCGGUCUGUGUAGGAUAGGUGGGAGGCUGUGAAACCGGGACGCUAGUUUCGGUGGAGCCAACCUUGAAAUACCACCCUGAUUUAUUUGAGGUUCUAACCUUGAUCCGUGAAUCCGGAUCGGGGACCGUGCAUGGUGGGCAGUUUGACUGGGGCGGUCUCCUCCCAAAAGGUAACGGAGGAGUACGAAGGUACGCUUAGGGCGGUCGGACAUCGCCCAUAAAGUGCAAUGGCAAAAGCGUGCUUGACUGCGAGACCCACAAGUCGAGCAGGUGCGAAAGCAGGUCAUAGUGAUCCGGUGGUUCUGUAUGGAAGGGCCAUCGCUCAACGGAUAAAAGGUACUCUGGGAUAACAGGCUGAUACCGCCCAAGAGUUCAUAUCGACGGCGGUGUUUGGCACCUCGAUGUCGGCUCAUCUCAUCCUGGGGCUGUAGCCGGUCCCAAGGGUAUGGCUGUUCGCCAUUUAAAGAGGUACGUGAGCUGGGUUUAAAACGUCGUGAGACAGUUUGGUCCCUAUCUGCCGUGGGCGCUGGAAAUUUGAAGGGGGCUGCUCCUAGUACGAGAGGACCGGAGUGGACGAACCUCUGGUGUACCGGUUAUGACGCCAGUCGUAUCGCCGGGUAGCUAUGUUCGGAAGAGAUAAACGCUGAAAGCAUCUAAGCGUGAAACUCGCCUUAAGGUAAGAUUUCCCGGAGUCUUGAACUCCCUAAAGGGUCGUCGAAGACCACGACGUUGAUAGGUCAGGUGUGGAAGCG